AGCGAACGCUGGCGGCAGGCUUAACACAUGCAAGUCGAGCGGGCCCUUCGGGGUCAGCGGCAGACGGGUGAGUAACACGUGGGAACGUACCCUUUGGUUCGGAAUAACGCUGGGAAACUAGCGCUAAUACCGGAUACGCCCUUUUGGGGAAAGGCUUGCUGCCGAAGGAUCGGCCCGCGUCUGAUUAGCUAGUUGGUGGGGUAAUGGCCUACCAAGGCGACGAUCAGUAGCUGGUCUGAGAGGAUGAUCAGCCACACUGGGACUGAGACACGGCCCAGACUCCUACGGGAGGCAGCAGUGGGGAAUAUUGGACAGUGGGCGCAAGCCUGAUCCAGCCAUGCCGCGUGAGUGAUGAAGGCCUUAGGGUUGUAAAGCUCUUUUGUCCGGGACGAUAAUGACGGUACCGGAAGAAUAAGCCCCGGCUAACUUCGUGCCAGCAGCCGCGGUAAUACGAAGGGGGCUAGCGUUGCUCGGAAUCACUGGGCGUAAAGGGCGCGUAGGCGGCCAUUCAAGUCGGGGGUGAAAGCCUGUGGCUCAACCACAGAAUUGCCUUCGAUACUGUUUGGCUUGAGUUUGGUAGAGGUUGGUGGAACUGCGAGUGUAGAGGUGAAAUUCGUAGAUAUUCGCAAGAACACCAGUGGCGAAGGGCGGCCAACUGGACCAAUACUGACGCUGAGGCGCGAAAGCGUGGGGAGCAAA
rnacentral:rRNA from 1 species